GACGAACGCUGGCGGCAUGCCUAAUACAUGCAAGUCGAACGCAGUGGGGACGGGUGAGUAACACGUGGGUAACCUCCCAUCAGAGGGGAUAACACUUGGAAACAGGUGAUAAAGAGAUACUGAUGGAUGGACCCGCGGUGCAUUAGCUAGUUGGUGAGGUAACGGCUCACAAAGGCCACGAUGCCUAGCCGACCUUGGAGGGUGAUCGGCCACACUGUGAAUGAGACACGGCCCAGAAUCCGACGGGAGGCAGCAGUAGGGAAUCUUCGGCAAGGGACGAAAGUCUUACCGAGCAACGCCGCGUGAGUGAAGAAGGUUUUCGGAUCGUAAAACUCUGUUGUUAGAGAAGCGUUAUCUAACCAGAAAGCCACGGCUAACUACGUGCCAGCAGCCGCGGUAAUAC
rnacentral:rRNA from 1 species